rnacentral:rRNA from 1 species
UACGGAGGGUGCAAGCGUUAUCCGGAUUUACUGGGUUUAAAGGGUGCGUAGGUGGAUUGGGUAGUCAGUGGUGAAAUACUUUCGCUUAACGAAGGAACUGCCAUUGAUACUCUCAAUCUUGAAUACAGUGGAGGCAGGCGGAAUGUGUCAUGUAGCGGUGAAAUGCUUAGAUAUGACACAGAACACCAAUUGCGAAGGCAGCUUACUACACUGUGAUUGACACUGAGGCACGAAAGCGUGGGGAUCAAACAGG